rnacentral:rRNA from 1 species
AUUGAACGCUGGCGGAAUGCUUUACACAUGCAAGUCGAGCGGCAGCGCGGGGCAACCUGGCGGCGAGCGGCGAACGGGUGAGUAACACAUCGGAACGUGCCCAGACGUGGGGGAUAGCCCGGCGAAAGCCGGAUUAAUACCGCAUGUGAUCUGAGGAUGAAAGUGGGGGACCGCAAGGCCUCACGCGUUUGGAGCGGCCGAUGGCAGAUUAGGUAGUUGGUGGGGUAAAGGCUUACCAAGCCUGCGAUCUGUAGCUGGUCUGAGAGGAUGAUCAGCCACACUGGGACUGAGACACGGCCCAGACUCCUACGGGAGGCAGCAGUGGGGAAUUUGGACAAUGGGCGCAAGCCUGAUCCAGCCAUUCCGCGUGCAGGACGAAGGCCUUCGGGUUGUAAACUGCUUUGUUACGGAACGAAGGGCUCUCUCUAAUACAGGGGGCAUAUGACGGUACCGUAAGAAUAAGCACCGGCUAACUACGUGCCAGCAGACCCGG